UAAAUUUUUUAAUAAGUUGAAUAGAAAAAUUUAAUUGAAUUGAACGAUAGUUGAAGGUCCAUGCGGAUCUUUUUCUUAGGCUUCGUUUGAGAUUACCCGGAGAUUGCGUUAAGAACGGUGAGAAUGUGCGUUGAUCCCACCGGAGAACGCAGAAUCAUAUCUUUACAUAUUUUUUUUCUACAUUUUAUCUAAUAGAUAGGCUUCAAUUCCAAACUAAGCCUUAAAAAGUAGGUGGUGGCUUUAAUUUACGUGCUGCUGAAUUGGAUGGAGAAAGCAUGGAAUUAAAAAAUUAUUA
rnacentral:lncRNA from 1 species